UGAAAACGACACAUUUUUAAACAUCUUUUGUAAAAAACUUUUUCCAGAUAUUAUUCAUGAGCUGAUAAGAUGUCGCCAGGUCUCCCCUAUGCUGCCAGAGGGUGGACGGGAAGGUCACAGAUGACAGUUGAAGUCAUCUUCCUGCACUGGGAUGUGUGGAUUAUUUCUGGUGUAUUAUGGAACUACACAGCUGCAUAGACAGCCAGAGAGAGGGUGAGUAUAUGAAGAGGUGUGGGAACGAAGGAAACUAGUGAAAGGCAGGAAGGGUUCCCACUAAGACACUUUUUCCAUCCAGUGACUGGAAUCCUUUUUUUUUUUUUUUUAAUAGCGUGCUUCUCUGCUUCCUGUCCUGUUGCUGGAAACACAAGAGUCUGGAUGGCCCAGAGAUCCACCCAGAGCCUCAUCCAUUAUGACCAGCACAGGAUGCUGCACACAAUAAACCUGGAAGCACCACACCCACAACCACGGCCUUUAUCGAGUGCCCUGUGAACAAUCCUCAUCUGACUCCACAGCCAUAAGACAAUGGCGUCCACCUCACCCACGCAGCCCCCUCAGUGCAUACUGACCUCCACCCACCUACAGCACAAUACAUCCACACACAGCCGCUGGAUUUUCAACAUACAUGUUUGGUGACGAACGACUCACACGUAGUGAUUCUAAAUGACAUGUUCAUUAUGUAACGUUUCCUCAGAGGAAGUUGGAGCUGCUUAUUCAUUGCAACUCACAUAUACUUUACCUUAUUGCCAGCCAUUUUCCAAAGCAAAUGUGAAUACUUGAAUGUUUUUUUUCCCAACUAGGCUGUCAAUGCCAAUGAUAAUCGACUUGUAAAAGGUUAUACUGUAACUCACAUGAGAUAAACUAAUCAAGUGUGGCGUUAAUGUUAGUUAGCUUUUAACAUUUCAGCUGUGACGUUUUUAAUACCACUUUAAAAUAAAGUAAAAGUUUUGCUGUACUCUUGAUUCUCCCACUCAACUACAUCUGAAGGAAGAAUUUGAUUUUUAUAUUUCCCGAAAAGCGUGAGACACCAGAGAUCCAUUGGCUAUCUGCGUAUGAAUUUAAGAAAUUACAUUCUCAUUAUGUUGUACAUUAUUCUUUGUUGCUCACAUGUUGAAUAAUAGACAAACGUUUCCAUCAAGCUGUUAUCAGUUUCCCCUUCCAGCUGUCCUACUGUCACAAGCUCUUGAAGCUGUAAUUCCGACAGCCUGUGAAUGCAGCAUUAGAUUGGUGUCAGGAGUUUGCAGAUAAGAGUGCGUUCUGGUCAAGUGGAGGCUGGUAGAGCCAAGCCUGUCCUGUCUCUGUAAUAGCACAAACACAUCACUUAUCAGCCUUCAGCCUGCCGCCCUAAACACUGAGUUCUCUACUGCACUUUGAUUCAGCUGAGUGUACAUGUGGUGCUGCUGCUCUCUGGCUUUUUGACAGCAUGUAAGAUCUGCUCUGUGAGGGCUUUGCCUUUUGAGUCUGAAGGAGACAGCAGAUCAUACACUUGAAGUUGCAAUCCUGAGGAUUGUCAGUCAGACACACAUGUUUACUGGUGGUAACAGCAAGUGGAGCUGAUGUAUCUGUUUAUAGCACAAACAAACUCAGGGCACAGUAAAAAGAGGUGGUUCCAUUACUGAGGAGCUGGAGAUGUGCAGCUCUGAUACAGCUGUAAGAGAGUGAACAGUAAACAGAGAGGCUGAUAUCAAUGAGGUAAAAUACAGAAACGCUGGAUUACAUGCAGUGUUUCCUGUAAAUCCCUCGAGCAUUGGAAGGCAUUUGAAUCCAGCACGGGAAUGGUGGACUUGGCCACUAACAAUGACAACUAAUAUACAGUAUUUAGAGAGGUAAUCACUGAUGGUAAACACAUUGAAUGGCUAUUGCUGAAACAAGGUUUGAUUUCAUGAAAAUCUUCAUCCACUGCUACUUCAGUGAGUAUACUAGAAUGACCUGUAGUUUUCACCUGUGUUUUAUUUUCAGUCAAGGAAAACAAAUAGAAGUUGGGGAUCUUGCCAAAAUGAAAGCUGUAUCAUGGCUGCAUUGCAUUCUGGGGUGAUUUCUGCUACUAUCAGUUUAGUAAUUCACCCACAAAUGCAACAUAUCAGCAAACCUGUUUAUUUUAAACUAUGUUGAUAUGGGUGUAUUUUCCCCUCAACUAUGGAAAUGGAAAGAUUUUCAACAUUACAUCAUAGAGGAAUUUUUCCAAAGUUGACACAUGGCUGCUGAUUCACAGAGUGUGGCGUCUUGUUUGGCGUGACCCCCGCUGACCCCAGCUGUCACUGACGCAUCUGUUUCUUAGCGGGCAACAGCACCCGCUGAUCCUAGCUGCUAUCAGUACCAAGGCUGUUUUUACCUCACCCACACAUUCCUCGCCACACAGCCUCCAGGAAAACACACAAACACACUCUCUCUCUCUCUCUCACACACACACACACACACACACUGAACCACUUGUAGUCUGUCAAAUCCACUCAGUCCUAAUUCACCUCAUCACACCCUCUUUUCCUCUUCUGUUUACUUCUAAAGAGGCUUUCUUCAGUAAUUAAACGUCAAAAAUUCCAUGACUCCUACUGAUGUGUCAGAAACAGUUCAAGUUGUUUCAAUUUUUGCUAAUUAAAAAUAUAAUAUCAACAAAAAGUUACAUCACUGGAAUUUUAUCAGGUAACUAGUAUUGAUUAUUGGUAAUUUGAUUAAGUCAUUAUUCAUUCUUCUGAUGUACUGUAACAUCUACAGUGAUGUGUCUAUAGUAGUGCCUUUCCUGUGUGGUGUUUCACAAAGCAGGAUUAGCAAGUUUGCCACAUAAUUUCUCAAUCCUAUAAAAUAUCUUCUGAAAUGUCAUUUAUUACAAUUCUUUAUUAUUAUUAUUACCCAGUGUUCAAACUGAGCUAACAUACUAUCUCUAUACAGUGAUAUAACACUGAAACGGAGUGUUUCAGUGUUAGUGGUGCUGUUUAGCAGGUCAGACUGUGGUUGUACUGGGCAGCUUCCUAACUGUGUGAAUGUGAUCAGGGCGUUCCUGCAAAAGAGAGGCUGCCUCUCGGUGAAACUUCCCUGAAUUAAUAACGCUUUUAAAAAAAAAAUCAUGAAAACAGUAACAAAGAUAACGACGAUAAUACAUGACAAGUAAACUGUAUUCAACAUGCUGGAAGAUGAUGAUGUAUUUUUUUUUUUUUUUUUUUUUUUUUUUUUACAUAAAAUAGGCUUUACAAUAUAAAAAUACUCAAUUACAAAUAAACAUCCUACAUUCAAAGAUUGUGCUAGCAACAAAAUGUACUUUAAAGUAUCAAAAGUAGAAAGCAGAAGUAGCUGAUGAUGUCUCAGUGUGUAAGGAGCAUUUUAAUGUUGCAGCUGGUUUUAAACAUGUUACUCUCUAAUUUAGCUUAAUCUGUAAUGCAAUGUAUUUUGCCUAUUUUAUGUCAAUCAUAUGCAUAUUUUAAAUGUAAAAUCUUAAAAAAAUAAAAUCUGUAAAGAAACUAGUGACUACAAGUGUCAAAUAAAUAUAGUGAAGUAAAUUGAAAUUGUAGUACAGUACAAGUAGCAUAAAAUUGAACUAUUCUAGUAAAGUAAAAUUACCUUAAAAUUAUAUAAAUGAUAUAUAAGCCCUUGAGUUAAAGUACUUAGUUACUUCCCACUUCUGGCUGCUUCAGUGAGCAGUUCAGCUGAGAGGAAAAACAAGGCAAAUGUUCCUUCAUACAGUACCAAUAAUAUAUAAUAUAACUUUAUAACCCUCUGACCUCAGUCUGGUCACUGUCUGCGUGUGGAGCUCAGUACUAUUAGCUUUACAUACUUUACACCAGAGUCCAGAUACAGUAGCAUUGUCCUCUUGGCAUGCAGUUUGUCCCUCGGUGUGACCUGCUCCUGUGGACUCAGUGAGGGUCAGACAGCAGAGGGUGUGAGAACUGACCUGCAGUUCUUUCCCUGGCUCUUCUUUCUACCUCUUGGCUCACUUCGGGGGCAGGAAACAGCUAUGUUUACUUGGGCCUUUGGGUCUGUGUGUCUCUUCUUAUUUUGUAAUGUGUCUCACCUAAAUGGACUUCUAUCAGUAUACUGCCAAUUGUUUCUAUUGUUCUCACUAGGAUUUAGGUAUGCGUUCUUAUCAUUGACUGUAUGGUUAUUAUUAAUGCCACAGGUUAUGCAUUUGACCUGUCCUAACUACGCCCAGGGGAUUAACAUCAAUGCUAACAUACAUAUCUUUGAAAUCAGUGCAACAGAACCCACACUAAAAAUAGUGAGUGUUUAUCAAAUUACUUGUAAAUGAGGAUUUAGUUACCUGAAUGAUGGACUUAAGCUGAACCUGAACAAUACUUUUUGCUUUUCAGACACUUCUGUACUAUUUGGUGCCAGGUCAGAAAAAUCAAAGUUGUACUUUGAUGUUGACAUGAGCAGUAUUUAAAAGUCAGAAACUGGUAGUAACUACUAUACAGGUGAAAACCUCCACCUGACAUGAACUCAUCACUUCUUCCUAUGUUUAUCCUACAAUAAUCCAAAACCUAAAACACUUUGUGCAAGAGAGGAUUUGCAUGAGAACUAGCUAGUAGCUAAUGAACCAGACAACAACAAAUGCAAAUUUUUUCAUUAGCUGCCUUUAGCUUGAACCCAUGUUGUUAACACAUUAGAGAUUGAC